rnacentral:rRNA from 1 species
AACUAACCAGGAUUCCCUUAGUAACGGCGAGUGAAGAGGGAAGAGCCCAGCACCGAAGCCUGCGGCCGUUUGGUCACUAGGCAAUGUGGUGUUUAGGUUAGUUGUGCGAAGUCACUGCUCCACUCUAAGUCCUGUUAUGAAUACGGUAUUAUGGACAUAGCCCACAGAGGGUGAAAGGCCCGUGGGGGUGGAGUGGUGUCUUCCUUGACUAACCUUGGAGUCGGGUUGUUUGAGAAUGCAGCCCAAAGUGGGUGGUAAACUCCAUCCAAGGCUCAAUACUGGCACGAGUCCGAUAGCGAACAAGUACCGUGAGGGAAAGUUGAAAAGUACUCUGAAGAGAGAGUAAACAGUACGUGAAACCGAUCAGAGGUAAACGGAUAGAGUUGAACUGCAAACCUUGGAGAUUCAGCUGGUGAGCGUGGCUUGAGCUUGGUCAUAUUGGUCGGCUUCAAAGGUCUGCUUAGCUGCAGGUCGUUGCCUUCUGGUAGCGAUUCGCGAUGCACUUUUCAAGUGUUGUGAGCUUUUGUUGUCGCGGGCCUGCUUGCCAGUGCACUUCUUCAGGGUGUUCACCACGACCGACGCUGCCGUCUGUCUACUGUAGUCGAACCGUUGGUGCUAAUGGCCCUUGGGCUUUGUGCUUUCGGGAUGGCAGGUAGCUCGUUAGCUUUCGGGCUUUCGAGUGUAAUAGCCGACUGCAGUGGAGCUGUGCGGUGCGUUGGAGAUGGCGGCUACAUUGUGUGCGUAGGUGCUUGUUCUAUCGUCGAGGCUGGGUCUGGUUGUCUAGUUGCUCGUUAAUCGCGGGCCAGAUGAUGUCCCAGUUUCGUGCGGUGGGCGGUUGCUUGCGUGACAUUUAUUGGGCCAAUAGUCUGUGGUGUAGUGGUAAACUCUCUACCCGACCCGUCUUGAAACACGGACCAAGGAGUUUAACAUAUGCGCGAGUCAUUGGGUUUUCGAAACCUACAGGCGUAGUGAAAGUAAAUGUUCGGCUUUGUCCGGACUGAGGUGAGAUCCCGUCUUUUCUCAUGCGUGGUACUAUCAAGCUUUGGAUUGGCGGGCGCAUCACCGGCCCGUCCCAUGGUGUGGUCAUGAUUCCUUUUUUGAGGGGCUGUGCAUCACCGGGGCGGAGCAUGAGCGCAUAUGUCGAGACCCGAAAGAUGGUGAACUAUGCUUGUGCAGGUUGAAGCCAGAGGAAACUCUGGUGGAGGACCGCAGCGAUUCUGACGUGCAAAUCGAUCGUCAAACAUGAGUAUAGGGGCGAAAGACUAA